rnacentral:rRNA from 1 species
AUUGAACGCUGGCGGCAGGCCUAACACAUGCAAGUCGAGCGGAUGAAGGGAGCUUGCUCCUGGAUUCAGCGGCGGACGGGUGAGUAAUGCCUAGGAAUCUGCCUGGUAGUGGGGGAUAACGCCCGGAAACGGGCGCUAAUACCGCAUACGUCCUGAGGGAGAAAGUGGGGGAUCUUCGGACCUCACGCUAUCAGAUGAGCCUAGGUCGGAUUAGCUAGUUGAUGGGGUAAAGGCCUACCAAGGCGACGAUCCGUAACUGGUCUGAGAGGAUGAUCAGUCACACUGGAACUGAGACACGGUCCAGACUCCUACGGGAGGCAGCAGUGGGGAAUAUUGGACAAUGGGCGAAAGCCUGAUCCAGCCAUGCCGCGUGUGUGAAGAAGGUCUUCGGAUUGUAAAGCACUUUAAGUUGGGAGGAAGGGCAGUAAGUUAAUACCUUGCUGUUUUGACGUUACCAACAGAAUAAGCACCGGCUAACUUCGUG